rnacentral:sRNA from 1 species
GCCAGGUGUUGUGGGGCACACCUGUAAUCCCAGCUACUUAGGAGGCUGAGACGGAAGGAUCAUAAGUUUGAGACCAGCCUGGAAAACUUAGUGAGACCCUGUCUCAA